GGAGGCAGCAGUGAGGAAUAUUGGUCAAUGGACGAGAGUCUGAACCAGCCAAGUAGCGUGAAGGAUGACUGCCAUAUGGAUUGUAAAACUUCUUUUAUAUGGGAAUAAAGUAUUCCACGUGUGGGAUUUUGUAUGUACCAUAUGAAUAAGGAUCGGCUAACUCCGUGCCAGCAGCCGCGGUAAUACGGAGGAUCCGAGCGUUAUCCGGAUUUAUUGGGUUUAAAGGGAGCGUAGGUGGAUUGUUAAGUCAGUUGUGAAAGUUUGCGGCUCAACCGUAAAAUUGCAGUUGAAACUGGCAGUCUUGAGUACAGUAGAGGUGGGCGGAAUUCGUGGUGUAGCGGUGAAAUGCUUAGAUAUCACGAAGAACUCCGAUUCCGAAGGCAGCUCACUAGACUGCAACUGACACUGAUGCUCGAAAGUGUGGGUAUCAAACGGGACUUAGAUACCCUGGUAGUCCACACAGUAAACGAGAAAUACUCGCUGUUUGGGAAAUCCAGAAAGCGGCCAAGCGAAAGCAUUAAGUAAUCCACCUGGGGAGUACACCGGCACCGGUGAAACUCAAAGGAAUUGACGGGGGCCCGCACAAGCGGAGGAACAUGUGGUUUAAUUCGAUGAUAUGCGAGGAACCUUACCCGGGCUUAAAUUGCAUUUGAAUAAUCUGGAAACAGGUUAGCCGCAAGGCAAAUGUGAAGGUGCUGCAUGGUUGUCGUCAGCUCGUGCCGUGAGGUGUCGGCUUAAGUGCCAUAACGAGCGCAACCCUUAUCUUUAGUUACUAACAGGUCAUGCUGAGGACUCUAGAGAGACUGCCGUCGUAAGAUGUGAGGAAGGUGGGGAUGACGUCAAAUCAGCACGGCCCUUACGUCCGGGGCUACACACGUGUUACAAUGGGGGGUACAGAAGGCAGCUACCUGGCGACAGGAUGCUAAUCCCAAAAACCUCUCUCAGUUCGGAUCGAAGUCUGCAACCCGACUUCGUGAAGCUGGAUUCGCUAGUAAUCGCGCAUCAGCCAUGGCGCGGUGAAUACGUUCCCGGGCCGUGCACU
rnacentral:rRNA from 1 species